UGCAAGUCGAACGCACCUUCGGGUUGAGUGGCGGACGGGUGAGUAACGCGUGAGAAUCUGCCUUGGGGUCGGGGACAACCACUGGAAACGGUGGCUAAUACCGGAUAAGCCUUUGGGUAAAAAAUUUAUUGCCCCAAGAGGAGCUCGCGUCUGAUUAGCUAGUUGGUGAGGUAAAAGCUCACCAAGGCAGCGAUCAGUAGCUGGUCUGAGAGGACGAUCAGCCACACUGGGACUGAGACACGGCCCAGACUCCUACGGGAGGCAGCAGUGGGGAAUUUUCCGCAAUGGGCGAAAGCCUGACGGAGCAAGACCGCGUGAGGGAGGAAGGCUCUUGGGUUGUAAACCUCUUUUCUCAGGGAAGAAGCUCUGACGGUACCUGAGGAAUCAGCCUCGGCUAACUCCGUGCCAGCAGCCGCGGUGAUACGGAGGAGGCAAGCGUUAUCCGGAAUUAUUGGGCGUAAAGCGUCCGCAGGUGGCGAUUCAAGUCUGCUGUCACAGCACGGGGCUUAACUCCGUUAAGGCAGUGGAAACUGAAUAGCUAGAGUGCCGUAGGGGUAGAGGGAAUUCCCGGUGUAACGGUGAAAUGCGUAGAGAUCGGGAAGAACAUCGGUGGCGAAUGAGCUCUAAUGGACGUGUACUGACAUUCAGGGACGAAUGCUAAGGGAGCGAAUGGGAU
rnacentral:rRNA from 1 species